UAAAUUUGGUUUUGUUCUUCUCGUGUUAUUUUCCUUUACCUCAUCCCUUUUUUUCUUCUGGUCAUCAGUAUGUAGACCACUCUGUUACUCUGAAAGCUUGUGCGGGUCUAAAUGGUUUAAAGUUGGCUGGCAAGGUGCUAACAGUUGUUCAGGCUAUGCCUAAUGCCUCUCCCUUGGAAAAUGAUGGACAACGCGCAAUCCUAUCGGAUUCCAAAUCAUGCAAAGCCACUACUCUGCAAGCCAAGUGAGGUUUUGAAGAUCAAAGAUGUGUUCGCCACGGAAGCUCUCUCUUCUAUGUCUAGUGUGGAAAUUGAAGAAAUUUUGGAGGAUGUACGAUUGGAAUGUGCAAGAUUUGGGACUGUGAGAUCGAUU